rnacentral:rRNA from 1 species
CGUGAAGUCAUCCUGGGGGUACGAGUAGGGCUACACACGUGGUACAAUGGCGCAUACAGAGGGCGGCCAACUUGGGAAAGUGAGGGAAUCCCAAAAAGUGGGUCGUAGUCCGGAUUGGAGUCUGCAACUGGACUCCAUGAAGUCGGAAUCGCUAGUAAUCGGGAUCAGAAUGCCACGGGGAAUAGGUUCCCGGGCCUGUACACAC